rnacentral:rRNA from 1 species
AUAGCGUAUAUUAAAGUUGUUGCAGUUAAAAAGCUCGUAGUUGAAUUUCGGGGUUAGUAGGUUGGUCAUGCCUCUGGUAUGUACUGGUCUCACUGAUUCCUCCUUCCUGAUGAACCUUAAUGCCAUUAAUUUGGUGUUUUGGGGAAUUUGGACUGUUACUUUGAAAAAAUUAGAGUGUUUAAAGCAAGCUAACGCUUGAAUACAUUAGCAUGGAAUAAUGAAAUAGGACGUUCGAUCCUAUUUUGUUGGUUUCUAGGAUUGACGUAAUGAUUAAUAGGGAUAGUUGGGGGCAUUGGUAUUGAGUCGCUAGAGGUGAAAUUCUUGGAUUGACUCAAGACCAACUAUUG